rfam:Johnsonella ignava ATCC 51276 genomic scaffold supercont1.1, whole genome shotgun sequence.
UGAUAGCUGUGAAGCGUGAGGUUGCCGUUCCUGUUGGGAUGGGGUUUUCCGUGGAGCGAAAGUCAUGUUACUAUAAACUGGCGACAA